CUUCAGUAGGAUGCCCUCGAACAUCACGUUGUUCUCCGCCAUCGCGUAGAACGUCUCCGCCCACACCUUCUGCGCCACCUCGAACGUCCGCUCGAUCCCGUGCUCGCCGUCGAGGAGGAUCUCCGGCUCCACGAUCGGCACCAGCCCAUUGUCCUGCAAGAACGAAGGUUGUCAUGCAGGUCAUGCCACGCAUCAUGUAUCGUGUUUUUCUCUCACGAUUAUAAAUCAGUGAACAUAUUACUUUCAACCAUGACUUUUCAGAUAAGCGAACAAUAGCAAAUAAUAAAGCAACCAACCUGUGAGAUGGCGGCGUAGCGAGCGAGGCCCCAGGCGGCCUCCUUGACGGCGAGCUCAGAGGGGCCAUUAGGGAUGCUGACGACGGUGCGCCACUUGGCGAACCGGGCGCCCUGCUGGUAGUAGGCGGCCUCGCGAGAGGCGAGGCCGUCGAGGCCCUGGCACCAGGACUCGUUGUUGGAGCCGGCGAGCGGGACGAGGCCCUUGUCGACCUUGAUCCCGGGCACGAUCCCUUGCUCCACCAGG
rnacentral:lncRNA from 1 species